UGGCUCCAAUUCCAUGCAAAAGCCUUUUCCUGAGUGCUGGGGAGAGUUGUCCAAGCCACCAGCUCCUGACACCUGCCCAUAGACCCCACUCAGACCUACACGAAGUGCAGCAUCCCCAGGACCUCAAUUAAUGUCAUUGGAACCCACCUGGCAGAAAGCUGUGCUGAUGGGCAGAGAGCAGAAGGCCAAUUCAGCUCUGGAGCCCCAGGCAGUGAAGGCGGUGAGGAAAUGGCCCCAGGAAUUUAGAGGC
rnacentral:lncRNA from 1 species